rnacentral:lncRNA from 1 species
CAGGGACUUAGAAAAGCUUAGACAUUCAUAGGAAUAAGACCUCCAGCUAUUUAUGGGUUGAUUACAAGCUCAGUAUGAUUCAAUUGAUGAUUAGAUAGUAGACAUCACCUGUUACGAUUGGAGCCCUGUGGCCAAGAGGACGCCUGUGAACUAUUUCACCUGAUUAGGCCACGCUGGGAUUUUUUGCUUGGGUGAGAGGUCGUGCUUCCCCAGGACACGGGCAGCAGCCUGGAGAGAGGAGUCUCAGAGGGUAACCCUGCUCUUCUCAAAUAUGGAAAGCUCCUAUGUGGAAGGGCAGUGAGUGGGAUUUAUCUUUUUCUGGGGAUUCCAGAUGGCAGAAAAUUAGGCCCACACUGCUGAGCGGGAUUUGAGUGUGAGAAUCCAAGUACAGAAGCUGAAUUUGGGAAAAUAGUCUUGCUAAAGAAAGUGGCAGAUUUUCCCAAUUCCACAUUUUGGAAGUAUCAAGAGCUGUUUCAUGAGAUAAGCUGGCGAGAGGAAAUAGACUACUCUGGUGUACUCAAGGUAACAUUCUCCCUACUUCCUGGUCUACUAGUUCAAGAAAAACGUUUGUUUUGAGUGCCACACGGC